rnacentral:rRNA from 1 species
CCUACGGUAGGCUGCAGUGGGGAAUAUUGGGCAAUGGGCGCAAGCCUGACCCCGCAACGCCGCGUGAAGGAAGAAGGCUUUCGGGUUGUAAACUUCUUUUCUCAGGGACGAAGCAAGUGACGGUACCUGAUGAAUAAGCCACGGCUAACUACGUGCCAGCAGCCGCGGUAAUACGUAGGUGGAAAGCGUUAUCCGGAUUUACUGGGUGUAAGGGGCGUGUAGGCGGGACUGCAAGUCAGAUGUGAAAACCAUGGGCUCAACCUAUGGCCUGCAUUUGAAACUGUAGUUCUUGAGUACUGGAGAGGCAGACGGAAUUCCUAGUGUAGCGGUAAAAUGCGUAGAUAUUAGGAGGAACACCAGUGGCGAAGGCGGUCUGCUGGACAGCAACUGACGCUGAGGCGCGAAAGCGUGGGGAGCAAACAGGAUUAGAUACCCCAGUAGUC